rnacentral:rRNA from 1 species
UACGGGGGGGCAAGCGGUUGUUCGGAAUUACUGGGCGUAAAGGGCCAGUAGGCGGCCAACUAAGUCGCACGUGAAAUCCCCAGGCUUAACCUGGGAACUGCGUGUGAUACUGGAUGGCUUGAAUUCGGGAGAGGAUGCAGAAUUCCAGGUGUAGCGGUGAAAUGCGUAGAUAUCGUGAGGAAUACCGGUGGCGAAGGCGGCAUCCUGGACCGACAUUGACGCUGAACGGCGAAAGCUAGGGAGCAAACGGG